rnacentral:rRNA from 1 species
CGAAGCUGGAAUCGCUAGUAAUCGCGGAUCAGAAUGCCGCGGUGAAUACGUUCCCGGGUCUUGUACACACCGCCCGUCACACCAUGGGAGUUGGGAAUGCCCGAAGUCAGUGACCUAACCGAAAGGAGGGAGCUGCCGAAGGCAGGCCUGAUAACUGGGGUGAAGUCGUAACAAGGUAAC